UACAGAGGUCCCGAGCGUUGUUCGGAUUCAUUGGGCGUAAAGGGUGCGUAGGCGGCGCGGUAAGUCGGGUGUGAAAUCUCGGGGCUUAACUCCGAAACUGCAUUCGAUACUGCCGUGCUUGAGGACUGGAGAGGAGACUGGAAUUUACGGUGUAGCGGUGAAAUGCGUAGAUAUCGUAAGGAAGACCAGUGGCGAAGGCGGGUCUCUGGACAGUUCCUGACACUGAGGCACGAAGGCCAGGGGAGCAAACGGG
rnacentral:rRNA from 1 species